rnacentral:rRNA from 1 species
UGGGGAAUUUUGGACAAUGGGCGAAAGCCUGAUCCAGCCAUGCCGCGUGAGUGAAGAAGGCCUUCGGGUUGUAAAGCUCUUUUAGUCGGAAAGAAAGAGUUGCAAUGAAUAAUUGUGAUUUAUGACGGUACCGACAGAAAAAGCACCGGCUAACUACGUGCCAGCAGCCGCGGUAAUACGUAGGGUGCGAGCGUUAAUCGGAAUUACUGGGCGUAAAGGGUGCGCAGGCGGUCUUGCAAGUCAGAUGUGAAAGCCCCGGGCUUAACCUGGGAAUUGCGUUUGAAACUACAAGACUAGAGUGCAGCAGAGGGGAGUGGAAUUCCAUGUGUAGCAGUGAAAUGCGUAGAGAUGUGGAAGAACACCGAUGGCGAAGGCAGCUCCCUGGGUUGACACUGACGCUCAUGCACGAAAGCGUGGGGAACAAACA